rnacentral:lncRNA from 1 species
AAGUAAUCAUGCUCGCCAGCUGUGAGUUAAUAUUUCCUGGGACGACUGCAAAGGGGAUCUAAACUUAUAAGUAAGGGUUAUCGUACCAAUAUUUUAAUUAGAUCUCUCAAUAUUGUUUACAUAGGCACUAAUAUCGGUUUUGUCAUUAGAAAAUUUAAACAUAUCUAAAUUGUAUCUUCUUUUGAGGCGGGAUGUAUAAAGACACAG